GCGGCUGUAGCUUAAUUGGUAGAGCAGUGGAUUGUGGUUCCACCGGUUGCGGGUUCAAGUCUCGUUGGUCGCC
rnacentral:tRNA from 1 species